GUGGGGAAUAUCGGACAAUGGGCGAAAGCCUGAUCCAGCCAUGCCGCGUGUGUGAAGAAGGCCUUUUGGUUGUAAAGCACUUUAAGCGAGGAGGAGGCUCCUUUAGUUAAUACCUAAAGAGAGUGGACGUUACUCGCAGAAUAAGCACCGGCUAACUCUGUGCCAGCAGCCGCGGUAAUACAGAGGGUGCGAGCGUUAAUCGGAUUUACUGGGCGUAAAGCGUGCGUAGGCGGCUUUUUAAGUCGGAUGUGAAAUCCCUGAGCUUAACUUAGGAAUUGCAUUCGAUACUGGAAAGCUAGAGUAUGGGAGAGGAUGGUAGAAUUCCAGGUGUAGCGGUGAAAUGCGUAGAGAUCUGGAGGAAUACCGAUGGCGAAGGCAGCCAUCUGGCCUAAUACUGACGCUGAGGUACGAAAGCAUGGGGAGCAAACAGGAUUAGAUACCCGGGUAGUCC
rnacentral:rRNA from 1 species